rnacentral:rRNA from 1 species
CAGCAGCCGCGGUAAUACGUAGGUGGCAAGCGUUGUCCGGAAUUAUUGGGCGUAAAGGGCUCGCAGGCGGUUUCUUAAGUCUGAUGUGAAAGCCCCCGGCUCAACCGGGGAGGGUCAUUGGAAACUGGGAAACUUGAGUGCAGAAGAGGAGAGUGGAAUUCCACGUGUAGCGGUGAAAUGCGUAGAGAUGUGGAGGAACACCAGUGGCGAAGGCGGCUCUCUGGUCUGUAACUGACGCUGAGGAGCGAAAGCGUGGGGAGCGAACAGGAUUAGAUACCCGCGUAGUCCCUGUCUCUUAUAC